CCUACGGGAGGCAGCAGUGGGGAAUAUUGCACAAUGGGGGAAACCCUGAUGCAGCGACGCCGCGUGAGUGAAGAAGUAAUUCGUUAUGUAAAGCUCUAUCAGCAGGGAAGAAAAUGACGGUACCUGAGUAAGAAGCCCCGUCUAACUACGUGCCAGCAGCCGCGGGAAUACGUAGGGGGCCAGCGUUAUCCGGAUUUACUGGGUGUAAAGGGAGCGUAGACGGCAGUUCAAGUCUGGAGUGAAAGGCUGGGGCUCAACCCCCGGACUGCUCUGGAAACUGUACGGCUGGAGUGCAGGAGAGGUAAGUGGAAUUACUGGUGUAGCGGUGAAAUGCGUAGAUAUUAGGAGGAACACCAGUGGCGAAGGCGGCUUACUGGACUGUAACUGACGUUGAGGCUCGAAAGCGUGGGGAGCAAACAGGAUUAGAUACCCUAGUAGUC
rnacentral:rRNA from 1 species